GUUAAGCCUGCAGGUUCUCCAAUGCAUCCAGUUAUGAAUCCCUUCCCUCUCCUUGCACAAGGCCAGUUCAGAAACCUGACUCUGCACUCCGUAGAGGAGAAAACCUUCCCAUUGAUCCCAAAUGAUGAUUGAUCUCUCCCAUUAGAGCCUGCUCACCCCUUAGGGAACUUGGAAAGGAGAUGAGAAAGCAAGAGAAAGUAAAAGCAAGCAGAGCAUCCCUCUCCACCCCCUGCACCUGCCUUACCACAGGUUUUAAAGAAUUUCCUCCAGUCUUUGAACAGCUCCAGGGAGACAGCCUGAGCUCCCGUUCAGUCUGUAGAAGGUUCUUUCUCUAGAUAAGUGUUUCCCAACCUGGCUACACAACAGAAGGACUCAAGGAAUUCAUUAAAAACAUCAGUUUCUAUGCCUGACCCCAGAGAUUCUGAUUUGGAACACAUGCAGUAGCUUUGGCUUUCUUGUGCUAAUUUUUAUGAAGGACUGGAGAAAGGGGGAGAUUUAAAAAAAAAGGGGGAAAUAUUGAGAAGAAACAAAAAAUAAAAGGCAAAAAGGACAAAAGAGGUAGGAAGAAGGGAAGGAAAGAAUAGGAAGAAAAGUAAAUAUCCUUUAGGCUGGCCCACAGAGAUUUAGCACACAUUUGGCAGAAAUUCUGAAUAAGGGGGACAGGUGGAUUAGUAGGUAGGGCCUGGCUUCCGUACUUCCUCAUUACUUUUACUCCUACCAUUCCUUCCAUCUAGAAUGUUCUUCCCACCAUCUCUGCCAACUGAACUCCUGAAUCUUUAAGGACAAGCUCAAAUGCUACCAGCUUCUAGAAGCUUCCAAGAUUUCUUCCAGUUAGUUCUCUCUCAAGAAUUCCAGUAAAUUUCCAGAGCACUU
rnacentral:lncRNA from 10 species